rnacentral:rRNA from 1 species
GAUGAACGCUGGCGGCGUGCCUAAUACAUGCAAGUCGAGCGAACGGACGAGAAGCUUGCUUCUCUGAUGUUAGCGGCGGACGGGUGAGUAACACGUGGAUAACCUACCUAUAAGACUGGGAUAACUUCGGGAAACCGGAGCUAAUACCGGAUGAUAUUUUGAACCGCAUGGUUCAAAAGUGAAAGACGGUCUUGCUGUCACUUAUAGAUGGAUCCGCGCUGCAUUAGCUAGUUGGUAAGGUAACGGCUUACCAAGGCAACGAUGCAUAGCCGACCUGAGAGGGUGAUCGGCCACACUGGAACUGGGACACGGUCCAGACUCCUACGGGAGGCAGCAGUAGGGAAUCUUCCGCAAUGGGCGAAAGCCUGACGGAGCAACGCCGCGUGAGUGAUGAAGGUCUUCGGAUCGUAAAACUCUGUUAUUAGGGAAGAACAUAUGUGUAAGUAACUGUGCACAUCUUGACGGUACCUAAUCAGAAAGCCACGGCUAACUACGUG